rnacentral:lncRNA from 1 species
CCUGGGAUUAUUUAUGCAAGUCAUGAGUGUUAAACUGGUAUAAAAAUCAACCAAAUUUUGUAGCAGAUGUGCCUAGUUCUCUAUGCAGGUGAACCACUCACAACCAUAACAUUCGUUCUCUGGUUUCGCCUUUUCUUCACUGUAUAAACCAUCGCCUUCUCCUCCUCAGUGAACACUGUUACCCCGUAAAACUACAGCAAAUGAUGUAAAAAUUCCAUUCAUCAGAUUGUGAUGGAAACGAAUUAUUAAGUGUUUGACAACCUAAUUCUUUUUUUCUUUUUCUUUUUACUGUUGUGCAUGAACGAGGAAUGAGAAGAAGAGAUGCAGAGUGAGAGAGCGAAAACACAGCAGAUGCUUUUGCCCUAAACAUCUGUCUCAUGAAGCAAAAAAUCAGAUGUUGAGCUGGAAUUCUAGCUAUCUGCUGCUCUGGGUAACCCAGUGAGAGAUUUAGGUUCCAUGACCUCCCAUGGCCAUGCUUCUUGACCCAUGAAUGACACUUGGCCAAAUUCAUUCACUGAGUCAGACCCAAAAACAAAAGCUUGCCUAUGGUUGACCACUGAUCGCUCCUAAUGCAAACCUGCCUUUGCUCUAGGGCCAAAUGAUCCCUCCCAACAGCAAGGAGCACAAUCUAAAGAACUGAGCAGCAUCCAAGAGCAUGCAUGAAACCAUUCAGAACAGCCAUAAAGACUGACUCAUAAGUACAUCUCUCCAUACACUUUUGCUCUUCUUGAUGCUUGGUCCUGUUCUUUGCCUGUAUACUUCUGCUGACAGCAUGCAAUCCUUUCUGCCUUUAGGACAAUUGCUUCCUACACCACCACCACCACCACCACUACUCCCUGCCUUCUUUACUCACCGUUCCUUUAGGUUCCUUUUUCAGGCCGCUACUGAUUCAUCUAGAUCAGUAUGGUCUAUUGGCAGUGGCUCUCCAGGGUUUCAGGCAAAGUUCUCCUCCAGCCCUACCUAGAUCUAUCCUAGAGCUCACCUAUCCCCUAUCUUGCAUUUUCUGCUCUUUAUGGCAACAGUACAUAGCUCCUCCAAGUCUCUUUUCCUCUAUCCAUUCUUAUGUUCCACUUCCCUCACAUAAACUGCACUAUUAACGAACAUUCUAUUGCUCAAAUAUCACCCUGAGUAGUUAGGGCAGGACCAAAGGAACGUCCAAUGGAAACUCCAGCAUGAAAUUGCCGAAUUCUCAAAAAGUUCAAUUCUAUUCAUUUGGGUCUGAAGAGAGACAAUGGUAUUCUGCUCUGCUGCUGCUGUUAAAUGUACUCAGCAGUGCUAAGAUGAUGCUGUUAUCCCCAUCACCACCAUUGCUGUUGUGAAGGGUAUCUGCACUCACUUUUAAUAAUUUAAACUCCAGUUGUAUUGUCUAAAAUGAGUGUGCUGUUGCCAAUUGCUGAUGCUGUGAAGGAUCAGUUUGCAUAUAUUUAACGGAAUGGUCACGGAUGGAACUUUUUCAAUUCAUUGUCAUUUAACUCCAACUUUAACAUUUCUCUUUACACCCUUAUGUAGAUAUAUAACUGACCAGCAAGAAUUACACAUUGUGCAUCUGGUGAAGUGGACUCUAGUUCAAAGAAGCUUAUGCCAUAAAAAAAAAAUGUUCGCCUUUAAGGUGCCAAAAUACUUUUUGUUGUUCUUGUGACAACAGACUACUGUGGCUACCCCUCUGGAGUCUGGACAUUAUGUGACUGUGAUAUAUUGUCAAUAUAUAUUUAAGAAUGCUACUUCCUGCCCUUCCUGAAUAUCUCAGGGUAUAUAUAUACCUCUCAUUAUUUGACUCUCUCCAUUCAGUUAUGCUUCAGGCUGAAGCUGGAAUAAACA